GUCAAGCACAACAUCCAACCACAUAAAACUUGAGGAUCAUCAACAUAAAAGGGCAGAGACAUCUCUCAUAUUCAAAGGGUAAAUCCGACAAUCACUAAAUAAUAAGUAAACAAACAAACGCAGACAAAAUUCUCCUUGUUGCCAACAUAGUUUUCUGCAGCCCCUCAACGGUUGGCCUUGGCAACUCUUUCAAUCUCAUCCUUCUUCUUGAUCGCAUAACUGCACACAAAAGAAACAAAGAAUCAAGGGAAGGAAAUUAAAUCAGACUACAUAACAAAAAUGGAAAUAAACUCGGACAUAAAAGAGCUUCGGCCGAGAAUAAUAAGUAAUAAGAAAAUAAGCGCUUAGAAAGCAAGCCAUCAAUCAGUACCUGUUAGAGGAACCUUUGGCAGCAUUAAUAAGUUCAUCAGCCAAACAUUCUGCAAUAGUUUUGAUGUUUCUAAAAGCAGACUCACGAGCACCAGUUGUGAGGAGAUAGAUAGCUUGAUUCACACGUCUCAAAGGUGAGAUAUCCACAGCCUGACGCCUAACAACUCCAGCAGAUCCAAUACGAGUUGCAUCUUCACGUGGACCACUGAUCAGCACAAAGCAGACAUACAAAAGAAAAAAAAAAUGUUUGAUCAAUUUAAGGAGAUAAAAAAAAUCAACAUAUAAUCGGGAGAAAUUAUACUAAAGGCCACUUGAGCUUCCCCUCCAAUAUAAAAAAAGGACUAAGCACAAGGCAAGUAUGUAAUUACUAUGAUAAAUAUAAUAACAAAUCUGCAUCCACUUACCUAUUAACAACAGCAUCAACAAUAACUUGAAUGGGGUUCUGAUCAGUCAGCAAAUGGAUAAUUUCCAUAGCAUGCCUAAUAAUCCUGACAGCCAUGAGUUUCUUUCCAUUGUUUCUGCCGUGCAUCAUGAGUGAGUUAGUAAGCCUCUCCACAAUAGGGCACUGAGCCUUCCUGAAUCGUUUGACUGAGUAUCUCCCAGCAGUGUGAGGCACAUAGGUUGCAUGCUUGGCAGGUACCACUCCAACAUAGUCUGCCAAUGAAAUGUCACUGACCUAUACGUUGCAAAUUACAUAUUACCAUUAGUAGAUGCAAUGAACAAAUUAAUACAACAAACUAAUCUAUAUGUUUGAAAAUGUCAAACGAUUAUUACCAAAUAAUUGAUAAUAAAAGAUUUAGUCAGCAUCUAAAAAAAACUAAAAACAAUUUGACACGUAAAUACCAAUUAAUCAAUAUACUUAAUAGACAGGAAAAGAUUUGACCCACAUAUGAAUUUAACUGAAGCAGACAUAAACUUUCAUUUUAUUGAUAUAAAUUGAAAAAAGGCGUUAAUAAAAUCAGCACAUUCAGGAGGAGCACCAAAUACAUGUGACCAAAACAAGUGCAAUAAACAAUAAUAAUAACAAUAAACUUUAGCCUACUAAGUUACACCUACAGUGAAUCUAAGAAACACAAGAUGUCCACACAAAGAGGCCACAGAGAUGUCUAAAUUACAAAAGCAAGUCCCAAUUACACAUCUUGAGGUUGAGCUACAUAUACAUUAUGAUACUUACAACCCAACAAGUAAAUGCAAGGACGCCUAUCCUUGGCUGCUAACCAACCAGCUAAACGUAUGUUUACCAAACUCAACCUUAGUUUGUCUAAUUCAUAACAGAUAUCGAAAGUAUAAUUAAAUCAAGUAAAGCAAAACAAACUCCAGAUACCUGAACAUCAUCAAAGCUCCAGCGGUUGAACAGCUUCACGUCAAAGUGAGGCUCCGUUGGUUCCACAACAGAAGCAACUACGACAGGAGCAGCUGCGACAGGAGCAUCUACGGCAGGAGCAGCCAUGGUUCUGUAUAAACACAAUUAAAGAAACAAAACCUGUUCACAUUUGUUAACAACAGCGGGGACUAGAAUCAGUGCUGCAAAUUAAUUUUUCAAUUACGAGAAUUCCAUAUCAAAGUGAAUCGAGUAAUGUAUAACUAAAAAAUGAGAUUAGGGAAAACAUUGAAUCAAGCUUUUUUUUCAAAAUAAAAAAUUAAUAUAAAAAAAAAAGGAAGAAGCAAAAGGGAAACCUCAAAAUUUUGUGAUUCUUAGUUUCAUAGCUCAAUUCACAAACCCAACAAAAAUUUCAAGCCAAAUUCUUGUUUCUUUUAAUACUUUUAGCUUUAUCUAGGUGCAGCAAAAUCAGUAUGUAAGAAGCAUAAAAAAUAAUAAUAAGCCAUCAAUAACAAAAUACAAACAACUGUAUGGCUCUCUUCCAUUCAAAACAAUAAACCCACCCCAAAACCCUAGCACAAUCUUAAUUACUCGAGGAAGUGGCAGAGAUGGGUGAGAGAGGUAACCACUGACCUGGAGGUCGGAGUUUCAGAAGCUUGGAGAAGAAAGAGAAAAUGGCGCCUGGAGUGGGUUAUGAAACGCUCAAUACAAGAGAACGGCGCAGGGCAGAGGGCGAAAGAGGGGAAAAAGUCUUUAAUCAGCUAGGGUUUGGUUUUUAGGUUACGUUUACUAUUUUACCCUUCCUCAUUUUGUUUUUAUUUUUGUUUUGUUAAAAAAUCAUAUCCUCUGUUUUUUACUUUAAUUUAUUUUUUCAAAUAUGAUCAUAGAAGCUGCCCGGCUAUGCUUUUUUUGACACGUGGGUCUCUUUUGUUUUGUAACUAAAUAGUAUAGUCGCGAGGCUAUAUUCUCAGGUAUUUUUCAAAAUCGUAGAGCCGGACUGCUAUACUCGGGUUUUUAUUUUUUUAAAAAUAGUAUAGCAGGGCGGCUUUACUGCAAUAAUUUUUAUAAAAAAUAUUAUAGCCGCGCGGCUAUACUUGUGCUGACAGGUGCACACCUAAUCUCUAAGCGGGUCCCUUUUUUUAAUAAAUAAUAUUGCCGUGCGGCUAUACUCAACUUUUUUAUAAAUUUUUUUUUAAAAUACUAUAGUGGGCCAGUUGUACUAUAGUUUUUUUAGAAAUAGUCGUCGGGCGGGCAUACUCUUUUUUUAAAAUUAAAAAAAAUGACGUAGAGGUUGUUGAGUUUUCAGAUUUUUUAUUUAUAUUUUGUUAUUUAUUUGUAAACCGAACUUAAUAACUUUUUUAUUAUUUUUUUAACGGUAGUUUGACGUAGUGGACAACAUUGACUAACGGAAUAAAACACAAGGGCUCAAUUUGCCAAAUUGAACACACGGGAACUAAAUUGGUCAAAUGAGUAUAACACAAUGACUAUUUUAAUGUUUAAGCCUUUUUUUUUUUAAUACUAUAGCCAGGCGGCUAUACUCUGGUUUUUAAUCUAUAAAAAAAGAGUAUAGCCACGGGGCUAUAAGUGUUUUCUAGGCAGGUCCUUUUUAAAAAAAAAUAGUAUAGCUGCGCGACUAUAAGUUUUUCGACAUCUGGGGCUGUUUUGUUUUAACUAAAUAGUAUAGCCGCGCGAGUGUACCACGAUAAUUUUUUUUAUUUUUAAAGAUAGUAUAGGCACGUGGCUAUACCAGUUUUGACACGUGGGUAACUAAUCCUAGGUGGGUCCACCUUUUUUCUAUAAUAGUAUACCCGCUUGGCUAUACUCUGGUUUUUGUAUUUUUUUAAAAAUUGAAACUAGCCAAAAUAUAAACUAAUGCAACUAAAAGGGUACUUUUUUAAAAAAUUUCUUUAAAGAAAACGUAUAGCCGCGCGGCUAUACCUUUAAAGAUAAUAUAUUUUAAUGCUACGGUAUUUGUUUUAUAAAAAAAGAAUAUCAUCGUGCGGCUAUACUGUUUUCGACAUGUGUGUCCCCCUUUUUUUUUUAAUAGUAAAUAGUAUAGCCGUGCGGCUAUACUCUCGGUUAUUUUUCAAAAUAGUACAGUCAGGCGGCGAUACUAAGGUUUUUUUAAUUUGCUUAAAAAUAGUAUGACAUAAAAGUUUAUUGUGUGGCCAACAGGGCAAUGUAAAAGGGUCUUGACUUGCAUACUCGAGAUCUCAUGUUCGAACGUAUGUGAGAAAUUCGCCUCCCCUGUAGUUUAAACUAUCGCUUUUACUAAAAAAAAAUAUUGUGUGAGAAUAAUUAUGGUUUUUAAACCAUUUUACGGUUUAGAUCAAUCGGUUUAUCUAGGCCAUGGCAAGUGUCGCAUUGAUAGAAGUUUUUUCUUUCUCGAAAAUUCUUAGAUGGAUUUGGGCAAUAAGUUGCUCAAUUGUUUUUUUUUUUUUUUUUGUUGCCAAAGUGGGGAGUGGGAAAAACUGACACACAUAAGGAUUUAAACGCAAGACCACUUAAGAGCACACCAAAGACAUGGGCCAAUCCAACUAACACCCCCAUUCGUCAGCUCACUUCAGACGAUAUGGGUUUCCUUAACUGUGAAUAUGAUCGUGAUACUUGUGAGUUUCACAUUGUGCAAGGAAAAUUUUGUGCACUUUCAUAAGGUAAAAUGUCAAUUGGAGGAGAGCAAAAGGAGCAACACGAAUUUUAGAAAUAUUUGUAGCUACUGUUCUUCCAUUCAUAUUUUUUCUAAUUCUCGAUAUUGUCUUGGUCACAUCCUUGAAAUUAAACAAAAAAUAUGAGAAAAACAAACAUCGGCCAUUUUUCAUGAAACAAAACAGAACUAGCUAAAAAUCUUGAAAAAUAGGAACUCGCACAUUGAGAUCAUUUGGAGCUUCCUUUGAACAGCAAAUGACAAGAUACUCGUAGGUUUCGGCAGCCCCUCAACGGUUGGCCUUGGCAACUCUUUCAAUCUCAUCCUUCUUCUUUAUAGCGUAACUGAGCACAAACAGAACAACCAAUAGUCAGAAAAGUAUCAAGUUGAAGAAAACGAAAUUAGACUAAACUAAACAUAACAAAACAGAAAUAAACAAUGAGAUAGAUGAGCUUUCAGAGAAAAUAAACAUAAAGAAAGCAAUGUAUCAG
rnacentral:lncRNA from 1 species